rnacentral:rRNA from 1 species
CCCUUAGAUGUUCUGGGCUGCACGCGCGCUACACUGAUACUUUCAGCGAGUCCACCACCUUGCCUGAGAGGGUGGGGUAACCUCUGGAAAGUGUAUCGUGAUGGGGAUCGAUUAUUGUAAUUAUUAAUCUUGAACGAGGAAUUCCUAGUAAAUGCAAAUCAUCAGUUUGCGUUGAUUACGUCCCUGCCCUUUGUACACACCGCCCGUCGCACCUACCGAUUGGAUGAUUCGGUGAAACUCUCGGACCGUAGCUUGGACACCUUCGGGUGACCUCGCUGUGGGAAGUUAUUUAAACCUCAUCAUCUAGAGGAAGGUGAAGUCGUAACA